rnacentral:rRNA from 1 species
GAUGAACGCUGGCGGCGUGCCUAAUACAUGCAAGUCGAGCGAACAGACGAGGAGCUUACUCCUCUGACGUUAGCGGCGGACGGGUGAGUAACACGUGGAUAACCUACCUAUAAGACUGGGAUAACUUCGGGAAACCGGAGCUAAUACCGGAUAACAUGUUGAACCGCAUGGUUCAACAGUGAAAGACGGUCUUGCUGUCACUUAUAGAUGGAUCCGCGUCGCAUUAGCUAGUUGGUAAGGUAACGGCCUACCAAGGCAACGAUGCGUAGCCGACCUGAGAGGGUGAUCGGCCACAUGGGAACUUAGACACGGACCAGACUCCUACGGGAGGCAGCAGUAGGGAAUCUUCCGCAAUGGGCGAAAGCCUGACGGAGCAACGCCGCGUGAGUGAAGAAGGUCUUCGGAUCGUAAAGCUCUGUUAUUAGGGAAGAACAACUGUGUAAGUAACUAUGCACGUCUUGACGGUACCUAAUCAGAAAGCCCCGGCUAACUACGUG